rnacentral:rRNA from 1 species
GAUGAACGCUGGCGGCGUGCCUAAUACAUGCAAGUCGAGCGAACAGACGAGGAGCUUGCUCCUCUGACGUUAGCGGCGGACGGGUGAGUAACACGUGGAUAACCUACCUAUAAGACUGGGAUAACUUCGGGAAACCGGAGCUAAUACCGGAUAAUAUAUUGAACCGCAUGGUUCAAUAGUGAAAGACGGUUUUGCUGUCACUUAUAGAUGGAUCCGCGCCGCAUUAGCUAGUUGGUAAGGUAACGGCUUACCAAGGCAACGAUGCGUAGCCGACCUGAGAGGGUGAUCGGCCACACUGGAACUGAGACACGGUCCAGACUCCUACGGGAGGCAGCAGUAGGGAAUCUUCCGCAAUGGGCGAAAGCCUGACGGAGCGACGCCGCGUGAGCGAUGAAGGUCUUCGGAUCGUAAAACUCUGUUAUUAGGGAAGAACAAAUGUGUAAGUAACUAUGCACGUCUUGACGGUACCUAAUCAGAAAGCCACGGCUAACUACGUG